GGGCCGCGAGGAGGGGUGGGGCCCGCGGCUGUUUAUAAGGUUAGUUCUCGGCCGUCAGGGAGGUCGGUGCCGGGCCGGAUGCCUGGCUGAGGAGAGUUCAGGACCCAAGGAUCGGCUCGGGAGUGACCUGCAGGGACGGGGCCCCAGGGACAGGACACAGGGAGCCGCUUGUCUGCGGGGAGGGGGCCAAGCGGGCGCUGGAGGCCGGGGAGGCAGCAGGGCCUGUCGCGGGGAGCCACUCGCCGAGCGACGGCCGGGGCGGUGACUGCGCGCUGGCCUAGCAGCCCGCUCGGUCCGGUCCCCCCACGAAUCCCGAGGCCUGAUACUGGCACAAUACAUGUGAGGAAUACUUGUAACCUUGAUGUAAAAGAGACUACUCCUUGAAUAAGAUUCUUUCAAGAAGCCAGAAGAUGGACCCAGAGGGCAACUUUGUAAGCAAGGAGACAGCAGUGGUAGGUAGGGAAUUUCUUUCUGCUACAAUCCAGGAGUGUCAAACAGGAUUGCAGAUGAGGAAUCAAAGAAGGUGUUCUGGUAUACUGUCUUGGUGUGAGCACGUGGGGCUUGGCUCAACUGUAUGUAACCACCAUGGCCUGAGGCCACCACUGAUUCCCAGAGCUGUGCUGACAUCAUCAAAUAUGUGAAUUCAAAAGUACUAUCACCAACAGCUAUGUUCAUUUCACUCCCACUGGGGGAAAAAAAGAGAGUAAACAGAAGUACAUCAAAUAGGAAAGACCAAAGCUAUUUACAAACAGCUACAGCAAAAUGCAAAAUAAAACAAGGACCAUUGCUGACUAAAAUAUCCAAUAAAAGAUACUACCUCUCC